AACAAAUCUCUCUCUCUCUCUCUCUCUCUCUCUCUCUCUCUCUCUCUCUCUCUGCCCUUCCCUCCUCUGCAGAACCCAGCCACUGUAUUGGAGAGAAUUGUAAAAGCAAGGAAGGCACAGCUGCUGCCUCAGCCUGUCAGCUGGAACUAGGGACACUGCAGUGAGAUUCCAGAUACAGAACACCAACAAAAGGGAGUAUCGGGUGCUGUGUUGGAGCCUUUUCACCCCAGCAGUGGCUCCCAGUCUGCCAUAAGGAGCCAAAAAGUUGAAUAUAGAGAUCAAGAUCCCGGCAGCAGCGAUUCUGAUGUAGUUGAUGCUGAGACCUCAGAAAUGUAAGCUCAACAAAAACUGCCAAGUGAGUGUUGCU
rnacentral:lncRNA from 1 species